rnacentral:rRNA from 1 species
GACGAACGCUGGCGGCGUGCUUAACACAUGCAAGUCGAACGGAAAGGCCCUGCUUUUGUGGGGUGCUCGAGUGGCGAACGGGUGAGUAACACGUGAGUAACCUGCCCUUGACUUUGGGAUAACUUCAGGAAACUGGGGCUAAUACCGGAUAGGAGCUCCUGCUGCAUGGUGGGGGUUGGAAAGUUUCGGCGGUUGGGGAUGGACUCGCGGCUUAUCAGCUUGUUGGUGGGGCAGUGGCUUACCAAGGCUUUGACGGGUAGCCGGCCUGAGAGGGUGACCGGCCAAAUUGGGACUGAGAUACGGCCCAGACUCCUACGGGAGGCAGCAGUGGGGAAUAUUGCACCAUGGGCGGAAGCCUGAUGCAGCAACGCCGCGUGCGGGAUGACGGCCUUCGGGUUGUAAACCGCUUUCGCCUGUGACGAAGCGUGAGUGACGGUAAUGGGUAAAGAAGCACCGGCUAACUACGUG